rnacentral:rRNA from 1 species
UGGGGAAUCUUGGACAAUGGGCGCAAGCCUGAUCCAGCCAUGCCGCGUGGAUGAUGAAGGCCUUAGGGUUGUAAAAUCCUUUCAGCGGGGACGAUAAUGACGGUACCCGCAGAAGAAGCCCCGGCUAACUCCGUGCCAGCAGCCGCGGUAAUACGGAGGGUGCGAGCGUUGUUCGGAAUUACUGGGCGUAAAGCGCGUGCAGGCGGUCUCUUAAGUCUGGUGUGAAAGCCCGGGGCUCACCCCCGGAAGGGCACUGGAGACUGGGAGGCUAGAGUACCGGAGAGGAAGGUGGAAUUCCUGGUGUAGCGGCGAAAUGCGUAGAUAUCAGGAGGAACACCGGUGGCGAAGGCGGCCUUCUGGACGGCUACUGACGCUGAGACGCGAAAGCGUGGGGAGCAAACA